rnacentral:tRNA from 1 species
AAAAAAUUAGUUAAUUAAUAACAUUAGUUUGUCAAACUAAAAUUAUCUAUAUAAGAUAUUUUUUA